rnacentral:rRNA from 1 species
AUGCACCUCCACGGGCAUGACUUCUUCAUCCUCGCACAAGGGUUCGGGAGAUACGACGAGGAGAAGGAUGUGCACGCGUACAACCUAGUGGAUCCGCCCGUGAGGAACAUGGCCCUCGUCCCCAUGUAUGGGUGGACUGCCAUCCGAUUCGUCACAAGUAAUCCUGGGGUGUGGUUCUUGCACUGCCAUAUCGAACAACACAUAUCCUCGGGCAUGGCAGUGGCAUUCGUGGUGGAGAACGGACCAACAAAGGAUACCACUCUUCCCCCGCCUCCUGCAGAUUAUCCAAGCUGUGAUGAUCCAGAUGAUAAAGUGUUGUACGAAUGA